rnacentral:rRNA from 1 species
UGACACUCGUGGAACGAGCGGCGGACGGGUGAGUAACACGUGGGCAACCUACCUGUAAGAUCAAACUAACCCCGGGAAACCGGCGCUUAUGCCGAGAAACACUUUCUUUCCCAUGAAGGAAAUUUAAAAGAUGGCUUCUUGCUAUCACUUACAGAUGGGCCCGCGCCGCAUUAGCUAAUUGGUGAGGUAACGGCUCACCAAGGCAACAAUGCCUACCGACCUGAGAGGGUGAUCGCCCACACUGGGACUGAGACACGGCCCAUACUCCUACGGGAGGCAGCAUUAGGGAAUCUUCCGCAAUGGACGAAAGUCUGACGGAGCAACGCCUUUGUUUAUCGAUGAAGGUUUUCGGAUCGUAAAGUUCUGUUGUUAGGGAAGAACAAGUACCGUUCAAAUAGGGCGGUACCUUGACGGUACCUAACGAGAAAGCUCCGGCUAACUACGUGCCAGCAGCCGGGGUAAUAGG